GUAGGGAAUCUUCCACAAUGGACGAAAGUCUGAUGGAGCAACGCCGCGUGAGCGAAGAAGGUUUUCGGAUCGUAAAACUCUGUUGUUGGAGAAGAACACGUUUGAGAGUAACUGUUCAGACGUUGACGGUAUCCAACCAGAAAGCCACGGCUAACUACGUGCCAGCAGCCGCGGUAAUACGUAGGUGGCAAGCGUUAUCCGGAUUUAUUGGGCGUAAAGCGAGCGCAGGCGGUUUUUUAAGUCUGAUGUGAAAGCCUUCGGCUUAACCGAAGAAGUGCAUCGGAAACUGGGAAACUUGAGUGCAGAAGAGGACAGUGGAACUCCAUGUGUAGCGGUGAAAUGCGUAGAUAUAUGGAAGAACACCAGUGGCGAAGGCGGCUGUCUGGUCUGUAACUGACGCUGAGGCUCGAAAGCAUGGGUAGCGAACAGGAUUAGAAACCCGAGUAGUCC
rnacentral:rRNA from 1 species